rnacentral:lncRNA from 1 species
AUGUGCUGCCGGCCCGGGCUCCAUGAGCGUGGCGGGCACUUUGCAGUCUCGGGUGUUCCUGCCCGGUCUUCUGUUCCUAAACUGCAGCAAAGGGAAAAGGAACUGAAAAAGGCAGGCUCGUCGUUGCAAUAUCACCAAAAGAGAAAAUUAACGGCAUGCCAUCAGGACCACAGCAGUUGGAGAAACAACUCUUUAUCCCGGCUUGCAGCCACGAGGUCUUGAUUGGGGGAGGGGUGGUGAAGAAUAGUCUGUGGGCUGCUUUUUUUUUUUCCUUUUACUGGAGCUGUACAGUGGAGUCGGUGAUUGCUGCUGAUCAUAAUCAAGUAUUUUAGGAGCUUAUUUAGACAUGUAUCUGAUAGCUAAGGAUUUUUCAACUUUAUUCUCUUACGUAUUUUUCAACUGUAAAUUAUUGGGCUUUUAAAUCCUGCUAGUAUUGCUCGACUCUUACUCUCACAAAUGGAUGGAAUUAAUUGCUGUUAGGAGGUUGGAAAAUAGCAAAUAUAGAUUUGGACGGUGGUAGUAAUUUUGAGCAAAUAAUGUUUUAUCUUUUUUUUCCUUAUUUUUCCCUAUUCCAGUCAUACACGUGGACCUAACUGCACCAGUAGCUUUUCUGAGAAUACUUGCUGAAAAGGAAGUUUUCUGGAAUGGGUAAGUGUAUUCUGAUUUUCUUGAACUUUUCUUAAAAACAAAUUUUUCUUGCUAUUAAAGUUGAAUAAAUAGGAUUGGUUUCUUAGAGAGUAAAAGUAGGUGUUUCUUUCUUUAGACAAUGUACCUUUUCUGAAAAACUAACUCAUUAAGUACGGAUUUGCUAAUUUUAAGGUAGUAAAAUUACAGUGUAAAUAUUCCUGUACAUUUUUGGAAACUGGCUUAUGCAGUUUACGAAAUAUAAUUUUAGACCCUCUUUUAAGUUGGGUGAUAAAGUAGAUAUAACCUGAGAUGAUAGAUUUAAACAGGAUAUUUACGUUCUGCUACAAUUGACUGAUAACACUUGAAGUGUAGUCUGAACAGUAAUUUUGUUAAUCAUUUCAACAAGUAUUUGCUAAGUGGAAGCCAGAAGAGGAGGAAAAUGUUUUGCCACGUGGAUGUGAAGAUUUCCUCAUAUCUUUGAGAUAAUUAAACUAAUUUUUUCUUCCCCAUUAGGGAUUAUGCUGAAUUUGUAUGGUUUAUAGUUGUUAGAGUUUGAGGUGUUAAUUCUAAUUAUCUAUUUCAAAUUUAGCAGGAAAAAAGAGAACAUCACCUUGUAAAACUGAAGAUUGUGACCAGUCAGAAUAAUGUCAAAGUGCUUACAGUGCAGGUAGUGAUAUGUGCAUCUACUGCAGUGAAGGCACUUGUAGCAUUAUGGUGACAGCUGCCUCGGGAAGCCAAGUUGGGCUUUAAAGUGCAGGGCCUGCUGAUGUUGAGUGCUUUUUGUUCUAAGGUGCAUCUAGUGCAGAUAGUGAAGUAGAUUAGCAUCUACUGCCCUAAGUGCUCCUUCUGGCAUAAGAAGUUAUGUAUUCAUCCAAUAAUUCAAGCCAAGCAAGUAUAUAGGUGUUUUAAUAGUUUUUGUUUGCAGUCCUCUGUUAGUUUUGCAUAGUUGCACUACAAGAAGAAUGUAGUUGUGCAAAUCUAUGCAAAACUGAUGGUGGCCUGCUAUUUCCUUCAAAUGAAUGAUUUUUACUAAUUUUGUGUACUUUUAUUGUGUCGAUGUAGAAUCUGCCUGGUCUAUCUGAUGUGACAGCUUCUGUAGCACUAAAGUGCUUAUAGUGCAGGUAGUGUUUAGUUAUCUACUGCAUUAUGAGCACUUAAAGUACUGCUAGCUGUAGAACUCCAGCUUCGGCCUGUCGCCCAAUCAAACUGUCCUGUUACUGAACACUGUUCUAUGGUUAGUUUUGCAGGUUUGCAUCCAGCUGUGUGAUAUUCUGCUGUGCAAAUCCAUGCAAAACUGACUGUGGUAGUGAAAAGUCUGUAGAAAAGUAAGGGAAACUCAAACCCCUUUCUACACAGGUUGGGAUCGGUUGCAAUGCUGUGUUUCUGUAUGGUAUUGCACUUGUCCCGGCCUGUUGAGUUUGGUGGGGAUUGUGACCAGAAGAUUUUGAAAAUUAAAUAUUACUGAAGAUUUCGACUUCCACUGUUAAAUGUACAAGAUACAUGAAAUAUUAAAGAAAAUGUGUAACUUUUUGUGUAAAUACAUCUUGUCUUGUUUUCAUUCAAAAACAUUUCACUUUUGGGGUUGCGUGUCAGAUUUGGCAGUAUAAAUUCUGGCUAUAUUUUUUGUUGUUAGAUUUAUUUGGCUGUUAAGUAUUGCGAUAUGACUAAACAUACUGUAUACCUGAUGAUCAUCUGUAAAGUUAGAGUAUAUCUUUUUGCUUUCUUUGGAGUUAGUGUUAUUCCAGGAUAUUUUACUUAAUCUAAAAGUUAAUUUAUGUUGCUCAUAUAUUACUCAAGUAUUUAAAUUUAGAGAGAAUGCCGCUCUGUUUAAAGCAAUGUGUAAAGAUGAGUUUUUUUAAGCAUGGAAUUUAGGGUUGGGGUACAAUUUGUUUCUAUUAAGCAAGUACCAGUUUACCAAUACAUGAGUAACUGAAGUGUAACUGUUAAAUGCUUGUAUACUAGUUUUUCUUUCUGAUUGUCAGUGAUUUAUAAGCUAUAAAUGACCAAGGUCCUCAGACUGCUUUUAGCAUCUGCAACUUAAAAAAAUGGGAGUUAGAAAAAGAACAAAUGCUAAAUAGAGUAACAGUUAAAUGUAUGUGUACACUCUUCCCAAAUGCCAAGAGUGCAGCGGUGGGGUGAGAUUCAGAUAUUCAUUUAUUUCUAAGUCUGUAGUUAACAUUUAUGUUCCCUACUCCCUACGUAAGCCAGACUUUGGCAACAGUGAUAGUUGAUUCCAGGCUUAUUUGACUUAAAGUCACUGAAGUGGAAACUAAGAAGUGGCAGUUAGUGUUUUACCCAGCAUUUCUGCCUUCUCUCUUUUCUUCAUGUGUUUUUGUCUCUAGCCUAUGUGUAUUUGUGUAGAAUAAUGUGGGAUACCUGAAUAAUAGAUUUAAAAGGACCAAGUGGUAAAAUUGGGCCCAAGCUGAAGUACAGGCAAACUUGAUGUUUGAAAGAUAAGUUUUGAGAAAUGUCAUUGUAUUUUGGAGUAAAAGAGGCUAUCUUAGUAAUAAGAAAUAAACUUCCAUAACACUAGGUUAGACCACCCAAUAAAUCUAGAAAUCAGCUUUUAAAAAUAUUGUCUGAAGUCUAACAAAAGUUUUCACCUCUAAUGUGUUCUUUAAGAAAUUUAAGGAACUUAGCCUUGGAUUCCUGAAUAGAAAGGUAAGAAUUCUAUCAUUCUGGAGUUGAUGAAAACAUAAAUUUUCAGGAUGUGAAAUGAACAGUGAUUUAUAAAAUGGAAAUCAAAUUGUACAUUAGCAGAGUUCUUAAGCUUUUUGAAUUGAAGGAGACCUAAUAAUUGUGUCUUUUUGGUUAUUUAGUGACAAACGUGGCUUUCAAACUAUGCUUAAAAAGUUCCGGCUGGACACGGUGGCUCACACCUAUAAUCCUAGCACUUGGGGAGGCUGAGGCAGACGGAUUACCUGAGGUCAGGAGUUCGAGACCAACCUGGCCGACAUGGUGAAACGCUGUCUCUACUAAAAAUAUAAAAAAUUAGCCGGGUGCAGUGGCGUGCACCUGUAAUCCCAGCUACUCUGGAGGCUGAGGCAGGAGAAUCACCUGAACCUGGGAGGUGGAGGUUUCAGUGAGCUGAGAUCCUGCCACUGCACUCCAGCCUGGGCGCAAGACCAAGACUUAAACGCAAAAAAAAAAAAAAAAAAAAAAAAAAAGUUUCAUAAUACAGCAUGGUCUGGUAGUUUGCAAAAUGGUGUGCUUUUGGGGAGAUACACUAGCAAUUUUUUUAAAAACUGGAACAGUGUGAUAGGAAGCCUGCUGGAUGAUUUCUUAAAUAUUCUAAAAUGUAAGUCAAAUAUGUUUUAAUAACAAAGACUUAAAUGGCUUUUCUCCCUAGAGACUGAAACUAGUAUUCAUUGUGUUCAGAACUUAAUUGGGCUUGAACUGAGAUUUAAAUCUAAUAAACAAGUUAAUAAAUGUGUAUGUUUUGUUGUGGGUUUGGUAGUGAUCUGUGGUUCUAUAGGGUUUAAUAGGAAUUGCUUUUGAUUUGUUUCUGGCUUUAGAAUGUGAGGCAAAUUUUACAUUCUUGGUUCUAUUAAGAUUUUCUUAGGCAUGCUAACAUGCCAACAAAAAGCCAUGUAAGUAUUGUAUAAAAAGAUUCACAUUGUUAAUUUAGCCAUUUUGAAAUUCAGAUGAGUGAGCAAGUUGAUAAUGGCCUCAUCUCUGACCUGAGAAAAAACAACUUUGACCCUUGUUCUUAAAAUGCUUUAACCUUGAAGUUGCUUGAGACUUAAGAGGUCAUGUUGCUUUAGGUUUAAUAAAUAGCCUUAACUAUUUGGAGGGGAAAAAAUGGGUCAACUUUUUUUUUUUUUUUUGGCGUUUGCAUGUACAACUUUCUAUUUUUAGCCUAUAUUUGGAAAGAAAGCACUUAACAUUUUAGGAAUUCUUUUUAAAGCUGCUUGCAAAGUGUUGGUGAUUUUACUGAAAACUUUUGAGAUCUUCAUUUUACAGGCAGACCUGUCUAACUACAAGCCAGACUUGGGUUUUCUCCUGUAGUUUGAAGACACACUGACUCCUGACAAAAUGCAGCCUGCAACUUCCUGGAGAACAACUCAGUGUCACAUUAAAGUUUAUUAUGUAUUUAAUGAUACACUGUUUAAUUGACAGUUUUGCAUAGUUUGUCUAACUUUAGAGAAUUAAGAGCCUCUCAACUGAGCAGUAAAGGUAAGGAGAGCUCAAUCUGCACAGAGCCAGUUUUUAGUGUUUGAUGGAAAUAAGAUCAUCAUGCCCACUUGAGACUUCAGAUUAUUCUUUAGCUUAGUGGUUGUAUGAGUUACAUCUUAUUAAAGUCGAAAUUAAUGUAGUUUUCUGCCUUGAUAACAUUUCAUAUGUGGUAUUAGUUUUAAAGGGUCAUUAGGAAAAUGCACAUAUUCCAUGAAUUUUAAGACCCAUAGAAAAGUUGAAGAAUGCUUAAUUUUCUUAUCCAGUAAUGUAAACACAGAGACAGAACAUUGAGAUGUGCCUAGUUCUGUAUUUACAGUUUGGUCUGGCUGUUUGAGUUCUAGCGCAUUUAAUGUUAAUAAAUAAAAUACUGCAUUUUAAAGCUGUUAAGAAAUUGUCCAGAACGAGAAUAUUGAAAUAAAAACUUCAAGGUUAUUAUCGCAGUUUUUAUGGCGUUUUUGUUUUGUCACUACAGAUGGUCUAAAGGUUACUUAUUAAUUAAUUGGGGAAGUGGAGACAAGGACCAAAGUUUAUCUGGAUUUUCUUAUUUAAUCUUCAUUACCUGUGAAAUAUGUAUUUGUAUUCUUACUUUACAUAUGAGAUCAGAAGUUCAUUUUCAAGCAGAAUGGAAAGGUGGUAAAUGGACUCUGAAUUAAAAUAUGUCAGUAUUUUAAAAGGUUAUCUUCUGCCUAGUAUUUUUAUGGAAUCUGACAAGUUCUCAGAUCACACUUGUUUCCUUAAAUCUUGGUAAGUCUGAAGCAUUCUUCAUUUUGUUUAUAUUAUACACGUUAGUAAGGUGGGAGUUCUUUUGUUUUUUGUGUUUUUUGGCCAGUUGAUAACAUGAAAGUUUAAGAGAGGAGGCCAAAGUAUAUAAAAAGUCUUAAACUCCUGCUUCUAAUAAAUGUCCAAUAUGUGUUGGCUCCUGGGUUGAGUGUUUAUUAAUGGGUCUGUACUAACUCUAAAACAUUAAAUAAGAAUGGUAUGUUCUGACCAGCCCUCAAAGUUCAGCCAUUUCUAAAAGUUCAAAAAAUCAUUGUAAAUAUUUUUUAAAUGAGGUACGAGAUUGUACCUGUCUAUGGCCAGUAACACAAGAAAUCUAGGCUCAUGCAGAGUUUUAGCAUAGUUGACCCUCAGUAUCAGUGGAGGGAUUGGUAGGACCCUCAGUGCAUACCAAAUUCUUCAGGUGCUCAAGUCCCUUAUGUAAAGUGGUGCAGUGUUUGCAUGUAAAUCUAUACAUGUCUUCUUGUAUGCUUUAAGCUGUCUAUAUAUUGCUUGAAUAAUCUGGUAAAAUAUCUUACAUAUUAUUCAUGUAGAUUCAGUAUAGUAUUUGCGUGUGGCAAAUUCAGGUUUGGCUUUUGGGGACUUCGUGAGAUUUUUUUUCCUGAGUAUUUUCAGUCUGUUUGUGGUUGGAUGCAGGAACCACAGAUACAUAGGGCUAACUUAAGUAAGUGCCGACAUAAAUGCGUUAGUCAUAGAGGUAAAUAACAAAGACCUGAGUUUGGUAGUAAGUUCCCCGAAAUGAAAUGUUAGUAUACUCCUAAGUGAUUAGUAAUUAGAUCUCAGGUUGAAUAUACUAAAUCCUUAAUAACUGCAUGUUUACUUUUAAGACCUAGAUUUGUCAGUAUAUUAGUAGAGGUGAGCAUGUACUAAUUGUUCACACUUGUUUAUAAAAGCAUAUAUACUGUGAAUUUUUAGUACGUUUAAUGUUGACUUCAACUUACAUAGACUGAAAAAGAUUGAAAAAAAGCUUCGACGACAUCAGUUCUGCACUUGUUGAGAUGUACUGAUCCAGAUGGAAUACCACACUGUUCAGCAGGUUGGGGUAACUAGAUGAGACUAGUGAAUGUUCCAAGAGUAGAUGAAAAUUGGGGUCCUGUAAGGUGGUGCUAGGAAUUCUAAAGUGAUUAUGCAUUUACCAAGAAAAGGUUCUUAACCAGUUGUCUUAAAAUUAUUAAGACGUAAAGACCUGGAAUCUUAAUCUAGCUGCACUAUAUUAGAGUCUUUGGGGCAGGAUGCUGCGCAGACAAGUAUUUUGAGAAAUACCUGUUGAUUUUGCUGUAUAUACUUAAGGAUAUAUCUACUACCCUGAAUUGUUGGAAAUGCUGAGCCAUAGGAAUGCAGAAGAACAUCAAAACACCUUAGAAUUUAUAUGCAGGAAAGAGACCAGUAAACUAUUUUUAUGGUUCAUGCAGUCAUUACUCAGUUUUAUAGCUGACUGACAAAAUAUGUGCCCCAACCCCACAUUUAUUUCUAAAUCCACAGGCUUUUCCUUACUCUUCAAUUUCAGUAACUUCCCUUUUUCUUCUCCAAUGAUACUUUGUUUUGGUAACAGCACCUAACAGGCCAGGUGUGUAGUUGUCUUUGUGCUAUACCUGUAUUUCCUUGGUUGGCUACUGUCACAGUGGCCACCAUCAUUCUGAACAAGUAAGGUGCACAAGGUACAAGCCAUGUCUUUAGACAUAGGUUAUCGUCAGCAUUUAGAUUCUCCUCUAAGGCUUUCAUCUAAAACUCCCUUGGUUUUGUGUUUAAAACUUAGUCCACAGUUUUCUAGUGUUACCCUCAGAAUAAUUGUCAAAAUUGUACUUUCUAAUACUCAAGAUUGCAUCUAAAUUUCAAGUUAGAAAAGAUGUUUAUGCCAUAUUCUGAGUGUCUUGUGUUUAUAACCUAUGAUUCUGCCCUUGACUGUACUUACGAAUACUCCUUUUAAAAUACGAAACUUGAUUGAGACCCCAGCUCAUUUACUGAUGUCUUAAUACAACUGCCUUUCCACUUAAGUGUUUUGGCUCCCCCAGUUCCUAUCAUUUAUCCUCUCCAGGCAGACUUCCACUUCAGACUGCAUUUGCUAUUCCCUUAGUUUGGGAACUUCCCACUCCGGAUACCUAUGACUUAGUCUUGUUUCCUUGUAGUCCUUGUACACAGAUGUCAGACUGGCUCUCCCUUAAACUGCAUACUCUGUUCCUGUUCUCUGCAUCAUCAUCCUGAAUUAGUGGCAUCACCUGGGAUAUUGGAAGUGCAGGUCCUUCCCACCCCCUUCCAAACCUGAAUUGGGAGCUUCGUUUUUUAAUCCCCCCAAUUAAUCUCUAAGAUAUAAGGCCUCCAAGGGCAAAGAUUUGAAGAUGUGUGGUUCAUGGAUGCUUAUUCAACAUCUAAAAUGGUACCUGGUGUGUAGAAGGCACUGAAUAGACUGAACAGGUAAGUGGAAAUGCCCGUGGGUGAAUGUUACUUCUAGGAUGAGACGGUCUGAAAGAGAAAAGCAAAACAAGACUAGUAUGGGGGCAAAGUGCAUUAUUGACGGUGUGGUAAAAAGUCAUUAGAGCAACGUUGGUGGAGCAAGAAAACAGAGUAAGUAAAAAGGAUUUGCUGUGUACAGUAAUCCCAGCAAAAAUGAAGGAAAGCCUAGAAGUGGGGGAUCAAGAAAAAAACCAACUGAUAGAUGCUCCAUUUGUGUGGAUAUGUAAUGUUCAUCUGUUGGAAGUAAAUGUAAAACCCAGCUUCUAAAUCUCAGAAAGCAACUGACAGCAGCAAUAGGGUGAAUGUGAAAGCACUGAACAAAGUAACAAAAGUGCUGAGAAGUUGUGCUUUGUGACAGAUUAGUUUUCAUGAUGUUGCGUGGAUGUGAGAAGGCUCUGCUAAUAGGUAUAGUCAGGUGUGUUUUUUUUUUCGGUUUGGUUUGUUCUCUGUAUUACUUUGAAAUUUAGACUAUCAAGUACCAGAAUACUAUAGUUUUCUAACUCAGGUUCACUCCCUGCAGAAGGUUCAGGAGUACAAGAAGCCCUGCACUGAAUCGUGGUGCCUCAAUUAAAUUUUGAGUUGUCCUUUUGGCUUCCUGAGACAAAACAACGUGUUAAACCAGUUACUUCGAGUGUGUGACAUGAGAAGAUGGAUGAUGAUAAAGAGAAGUUGAGAAAGGCACCUCAGAUUAAUUUUAGGAAACAAAUGUAAACUAAACUUGAAUUCUAUUCUCUUUGAGUCAUGUAAUACUUGGCUAAUCGGUUGAGAAGCUUAAAGAACUAUUUAAGAAGUCUUACAGUGUAAUGUUUAGGACGGAGAAUUCUGGGUUCAAGUACCAGUUUCCUCCAUUAAUAGCUUAGGCAACUUAAGUGUGUUGUCUUUCCCCAAAAAUUGUAAGCUUAGGUAGGCUUUCCCAUCUUGAUCAAAAAGGUAGCUAUCAUGUUCACAUCCAGCUGGAAAAUAAACCUUUCCUCAACUUCAAAGUGAAUUUUCAGCUCCACUCUGCCCACCUGAACUCGGUCUGAGGAACAAGAUUACAUUCAGGCUUGAGCUUUGUGUACCAUCUCUGUUGACAGUACCACUGAAAGUCUGUUCCCUUCCUGAAGCACACAGGAUACCUAGGCAGGUUGGUGGCAUGGAUAACUGAAAGAUGAGAAUACAAUAUUAACAUUUGGGGGCACAUAGAUUUUAGUGAGGGUAGAGAUGGAAGAGAGGAAGGGAGAGGAUUUUCAUUAAGUUGAUAACUUGAGCACAAGUCUAAGGCAAACAUUGUCAGGCCUCUGUUAUUCAACCGCACUUGGCAAGGCUGAUGCAGCUGCUGCUUAUAGGUCUUGGCUAAAAUAUUACUUCCUCAAAGCCUUUUCUGACUGCCCUCCCCUAUUCAGUUAAUCUCUGCCAUGUUUUAUUCAAAGUACUUAACUACAAUUUAUAGUUAUGUGUAUUUGGAUAUUUUGUUAUUUUGAAUUCAUUACAUUACUGCUUUUAACAAAUUGCCACAAACUUUUUUUGUUGUUUGAGACAGUCUUGCUCUGUCACCCAGGCUGGAGUUCAGUGACCCAAUCAGCUCACUGCAACCUCUGCCUCCUGGGUUCAAGCGAUUCUCCUGCCUCAGCCUCCCCAGUAGCUGGGAUUACAGAUAUGCUUGCACCAGCACGCCUGGCUAAUUUUUGUAUUUUUAGUAGAGAUGGGGUUUCACCAUGUUGGCCAGGCUGGUCUCAAACUCCUGACCUUGUGAUCUGCCCACCUCGGGCUCCCAAAGGCCGCAAACUUUUAAUGGCUUGAAAUCUUACAGUUCUGUAGGUCAGGAGUCUUGACACAGGUCCCACUAGGUUACAAUUAAGGUGUCAGCAGGGCUGUAUUAGUCCCUAGAGUCUUUAGGGGAGGCAAGGUUUUUUUUUUUUAUCUUUUCAAGCUUCUGAAGACUCUGCCUUUGGCUCACGGUCUCUUACUCCAUCUUCAUAUCUAGCAGCAGCAGGUGGCGUCUGCAUCACACUGGACCCCUCUUACCUCCCUCUUUCACUUUUAAGGACCCUUGUGAUUAAUAUUGAGCCCAUCCAAAUAUUUAGAAAUAAUUUAUUUUAAGGUCAGCUCAUUGGCAGUCUUAAUUCCCCUUGUAACAUUUCACAUUUGCAGGUUCUAGGAUUAGGACUUGGAUAUUGUUGGAGGUCAUUCUGCCUGUCUUAGGGAAUUGUGUUGGUUUUGGACAUGGUUAUAGUUCCAGGCAUACAUAACUGCUUAGAGUUGUUUUCAGACAGCGUAAGUGAAAUGAAUGAGCUAAGGAAAAUACUUAAUCCAAUAAAAAAUAGAACAUACUCGGGCUGUCUCAAUGUUUUCCUACGGUAUUUAAGUGCCAGUUUAUGGAGGUUUUAAAGAAAAGAUUUUCUCAGACGAGAAGAGCUUAUAAUAUACUUCCUGCAAACAUUCUAGAAAAUGUAGGUCCUUAUCAGUCAACCUUCAGAAUGGGGAAACCACAAAAUAAGUGAAAUUUUGUUAACCUAUCUAAGUAAACAUUAAAGAGUUGCUUUUAGAAAUGACACAAUGUAAAGAGACCAUCAGGGUCUAAAACCUCAUUAGCCAGAACUGGAAAAUGAGCUUUUAAAUACAGGUAAAAAGUAAAUAAGCAAUUUAUCCUCUACUUUGUUAGAGUACAGAAAUAGUAUUUCAAAGCAACCACUAGCAGAAUAAAAGACUAUACUUAACUUUGAAAUCACCAGGAAAAAGGCUAGGAAAACAGCCCACAAAGCAAAAGACAAAAAGGAGGAGACAGAAAUAAGAACAUUUUUAAUUAAAAUUAAGCACAGAAAAAUUUUAAGUAGUUUGUAUUCAAGUCAGUUUUACUUAAAUUUUAUAACAUGCAAGCCCUGGUUAUUUUUAGUGAUUGGAAAUGUAGACAACUGGUGGUUUGCCCCUAGUCAAUGGGAAGUCCUGGCCCUUGAUACUCUGGCCCAGCAGUAAGAGCUUCUAUUAAACCUCUGCUCCUUGAACAAGGAACAAAUCUUACUUUGUAUUCCCCAAAAUGACUGCAAAGUAGGCAUUCAAUAGAUAGCUGUUGAAUGGAUUGGAGAUUUCUCCUAAACAUCAUGUUACAAUUCAACUGUUCUUUGAUGUACUGCAGUAGACAUUUUCAUGCCAUUCUUAAAUUUCUCAGUCUCCUGAUGCCAAAUUUUGUUUAGAGGUAGAGGCUGAAGGUUAUGCUUGCUUUGGUGGAGAGUAUAAAGACAAUAGUAUGUGUGUAGCGGGGAAUGAGGCAGUGGAUAUAAAGAAAAGAAAAGGUUAUUUGCACAUCCAUAAGUAAUAUGUAACGGUGGCAAUGAAUGGCUGGCUGGGGUGGGAUAGUGGUUCUGGUCAGCUCCGGGAACUUUGUUGGUCGGUCAUAGUGUGAUAAAAGAGUUCAGAACAGAUCUCAAAUUAGGUUUUGUUUGUUUUUGUCUUUAUAAUUUAGGAAAUUAGAAAUGAGUCCUACCUCAGGACCGCAAUCUGUCUUUUUCACUUUUUGGCUGUUAUGUUCUUCACCAAAUCACUCUUUGGGAAGUAAGCUGCAGAGUGAACUGAUGGAUGUCUAUGAAAAUAAACAUGCAUGACCCUGUAACAAAGCAUGUGUGUCCUCAAGAAGAUUGCAGGUGAUUUUCAGAUGAGUCUCAUGUCUGCACAGUGAGAAUUCAUAAAAUGAAGUGUUAACCAAUACUCAGAAAGUGAGUUCAGAGGGGGAAAUAACUGCUGCAGUACUGUGUGUGCUUGAUACACAUUAUGACAGGUAGGUAAUUAGAAGAGUCUUGUUACUGCAUCUAGUUUAGCAUACAUAAAUACAGUAAUUAGGUUGUUUUUUUAAAAAAGCAAUUUUGUCACAGAACGAUCCUUAGUAUGACGAAUCCAAUAUUUAAUAUUUUUUCCACCCCAAAAUGGAAUGUACAGUUUAGUACCAAGUGAAACCAUUCAGUCUUGGUUGAUUGAUAUUACUAUCAGAAUAAAUUAUUGGUUUUUUUGUUUAUAUAGGAGUUGAGGCAUUUCACUGCUGUAAAGUACUGUGCCUUCUUAAAAUGAUGAUGGAAUAUUGGAAUAUCAAAGACCCUAAACACAUUUUAUUCAUUUUAAAGACAUGUAAUCCUGCUGAUAUUUAAAGUCUAAUAUUUUAAUCAUAGGUCUGUCUCCAAAAGGAUGUCAUCUAAAAGCAAUUUUCAUAUUUUGUAUAGGGUUAUUGCUUUGUAUUGAUUUGGUUUAUAAAAAAGGGACAACAAUCCAUUUAGCAGUCAUGUAAUUCAAUUUUAAAUUAUAGGUUUCUUAAAACACAUCUGAUUCUGGAUAAUGAUAGGAUCUAGGAUAUGGAAGUAGUGAUGAGCCUUAAAAUGAAAAAAGACUACUAAUAAAGUGUUAAAGUUUGAUAAUUCAAUGAGGUUACAUUGCAGCAAUUAAGCAGGCAUGUUAUAUAAUGCCUAUUGUUGAGAAUGAGUUAGCCAUGACCUUUGCCCACUUUUAAAAAAAUACAAUGCUAAGCACAGAGCACAUGCUACAAAGAUGCUAAAGAAAAUUAUGAGAUUAAUGAUUGGUUUUUACACAUUAACCAUGUUGUAACAGCCUAAGUGCUACUGACGCUGUUCUGUCUUAGACUCAUCAAAUAAUUGGACCAAGUUUGAGGAAAUCAAUUUCUACUAAAUAGUUAACCAUAAGGUAUAUUUGUAUUAGCAAACAAAAUGCUUUCAAAAUGUUCCACUUUUGAAACUGUUUGAGUCUUUUAUGUUGACUCAAUGACUUUGUUUACAAAGGGAAACUGAAGUGGAGUUAAGCAAUUAUCUGGCAAAUUUGAUCACUGUACACAAUCACAGGGAAUACAACAAAUAAUAUUUUAGAAAAGUUGUUUGAUGACAUCACAGCUUCACUCCAUAGAUCUUUAGUAGUUUUGGGGUUUUUAUUUUUUGAGGAAUUGUUGGAAUUGCAAUAAUGCAUGUUUGCUUGCUUCCAUUUUUUCCCCUCCCCCCCAUAUUUGUAUCUCUAAAUAAUAUGUACAUGGUUAAGAAUUUAGUAAUUAUUAACCCUAUCUAUUCUUACAACACUUUAAGAAUUUGUAGACCUAUCUAGGUAGUCAGAAUACAUUUUGAGUUUCAGUUGAAUGUUUUACAUUCAUAUGGAAAACUCAGGGGCAAAAGUAAUUAUUUUAAAUAAUGGCAUACUUUGAAACAGUUGCUCAAGGCCAAGUUAUUUUCUAGCAGAUUUAUUAAGUUACUGCCCCGUAAACUUAACUGCCUAUUUAUUGGUCUAUAUUCAUAACAGUGUCUCUUAUUUCCUAGUCACCUCAAAUUAAAAGGAAUUUGUAAGGUACUUAUCUUGAAGCCAUAUUAGUUUGAGCAUUAAAUGUCUUUCAAAUAUUUUUUAAUCUCAUGAAUCCAUGCCCAAAGAACAGUAAGGAUGUGUAUGUAGCAAUAUAUUUUUAAAUAUUACCUGAAGAUUUUCCCCAGAUACCUCCCUUUACCUCAUGUCCUUUCUUCCAUUUUUUCAGUUCUUAUUCAGUCUCAUAAAAGGAAGAAAAAUAAGGAAUUUGCUUGGCUUUUGGAUUUCAACUGUUUCCCUUACUGGAAAAUGAAAAACAUGUGCAUAAACAAUACAGUAAAUUUAAAUGAUUGCAUAAGGAUCUCUAUAUGCCUGAAAGUCAUGCUUGAAAAGGCCUCCAGUUUGAACAAGAGACAACAUAGCAGUGACAUUCAUGGCCUGAUGUCCAAAGACCAGCAUAGAAAAAAAAAAGCCAUUACCCUUGCCCUGAAUAUGUGGGCUGAAAUUCAUUGUAACUGUGUACAGGAGAUUAGAGACAGAAGGCAAUAAGAAAGCACUGGAAGUGCUUGGUCCAGAAUCAUUUAAUAGUGUAUGGAUUAGAAAAGGAGGUGGUAGUUAGAUGGGAUUAAGAAACCGUGUUUGUUGCUAACAAGAACCCUAAAUUCUGCCACAAUACAGUGAGAGGAGACCAUGGUUUGAUCCCUAUUAACAGUAAUAGUGGAUACUGCUAAGAAAAACCCAGCUAAUUAUGCCGCCGCCUCCUCUGAAUCACUGCUGUCCCUACUGGUUUAGUUCCUUAGCAGAAACAAAGUAGUAAUAGACGAAUAAAUCUGCCCUGCUGCAGAAGUGCAUUAGAGAACAUGAAGGUAAUUUUAUUGGGUGAAAACCUGGAGAAUGGUUUUUUUAUAACCUUAAAAAAUCUUAUUGAGUGGCCUGAGUAAUUUUGUUACGAUUUACUCAGCCCUCCAUCCUUCCUGUAGGACUUGUGAAUGUCCUUGUUAACUAUUUAAAGAUGAUAAUGGUAGCUAACAAUUUUGUCAAGCAUUGAGUAUUCAUUUAAUCCUAACUCCAGUCUGAGGUAAUUGCUGUGAUAAUUAUUCCCAUUUUACAGAUAAGGAAACUGAGGCAGAGAGAGAUGUAGCGGACCAAGUUCACAAAGCUGAUAAAACAGAGGAACCAGGAUUUAAAUCUAGGUAGUUUGGCUCUAGCACAAGUUCUCUUAACUGCUGUAUUGCCUUUCAGUCCAGCUUAUACAUUUUGAUAACUAUGCUAACAAAAUCCAAGGAAAUAGCAACAAAAUAUUAACAUUAGUUAUCACUGAACAGAAAAAUUUGGAGUUUUAGUAUUUUGAGUUUAUACCUUUCCCAAAUGUUAUAGAAUAAUCGCAUUCCUGUUACGAUCAGAAAAAAAUACUUUAAAAUGAGCAUAAUUUUUAUGAAAACUAGGGAGAGAAUUACAUAAAAUAUUCUCACAAGAAAGACUGGGAGAAAUACAUGCAAAAAGGUCUGUUGCAGUGUUACCUGUGUAGUGAAAUUUUCAGUCAUUUUUUCUUCUGUACUUUAUUUUUUGGUAUUUGAUUUUAAACCUGUAGUUUUUUUUUUAAUGCUAAAAAAUAUACAAUCAUCUUUAUAUAAUCACUGAUUUCUGGAGAAAUUAUUUACCAAAAUGAUUCAGAAAACAUGGAAACUGUUAAGUGAGUUACCAAAAAAUAUUUUAAGAUGUAAUUAAAUGAUUCUAUCAAAGACAUUAGGCCUAGAGAAUCUGGGGUAUUUAAUUAUUUUAAAUUUCUGAAGUAUGAGCCAAUUCAAAUGAUGUUAUAUACUCUUGAAAAAGUAAAAACUUCCUAAUGCAUUUCCUUAAAUUAGCAUUAAAAUCUGAGAAAUAAGCAAAAAUAUAAUGGUCAUCUCACUUAUUACAGAUGCAAAAGAACUACAUAAAAAAUGCAAAUAACAGAAAUAAUAGUAAUAGUAUAUACUAAAAUAGCUGUUGUCCCCACCGUGAGUUAACUCUGCUUUGCUAGUGUUAAGAAACUCAAUUAAAUAGAAUGCAGAAAUAAUUGGCAUAAUUAUUGCUAACAUCCAAAAAUAUUGUCUUUGAAAACCCAAAGAAUUAUUAGAAAAAUUAGUACUGAUAGAGACCACAGUGAGGUAAUUUAACACAAAAAUUAAAUGUAAAAACCAAUGUUUUCCUUGAUACUAACAAAUAUAAGUUGCUCAAUAAAACAAAAAGACUGCAAAAUAUUAAGUUAUAAAGCACCUAGAAGAAAAUCUUGAGACAUAUGCAGAGUGAAAGGUAAAAAAUUUAUACUUCACUUUUUCAUAAACUUUUAAUGAAAUUCAAAAAAGGUGCAUAAAUAGAGUUUAUGCAUUCUAGCCAGGUUUUUUUGUGUGUGUGAGAAAACAGUACUAUGUCAGCCUUCCCAUACUAUGUUAUUCUGCUAACAUUGCUACAAUAAAAAGUCAGUGGAAUUUACUUUUGGUCUUGGAAAAAAAUAAUUCUAGUAUCUCUCUGGAAGAACAAACAGGUGAGAAGAUGAGUAGAUGUUAAAUAACAUAAGGACUAGACUAGCUAUUGAAUGUUUUCUGAAGCUACACUAAUAAAAUGGAAUGCCCUGGCAAUAAUCAAGAUAAAUCAAUGGGACAAAAUGAAUAGGCCUCAAACAGCCAUCAUUGUAUAUUGAGCCCCAAAAUAAUUUAAAAAUACCAGAACCAAAAUUAAAAUACACUAACGAAAAUGUGAAGUAAAUGUGAGAAGUAGCAUUAUUAAUUUUAAUACAUAAAGCCAUCAUAAUAAAAAUCAACGUUCUCUUAAGUGAACAGGCAAAACAGGUGUGGAUAUACAAGGAAAAUGAAACACAGAUGGCAGAUACAGAGUGCGUUGGUUGAAAAUGGCAGAAUUAGUGUCAGAUAAAAUGUUGAGGCAUACUUAUAUGACCAGAUACCUAGCGGUUAUUACUCGUUGGUAGAGGGAACAUGUUUUGAAAAUUCUUCAAUAUAUACUACUACAUUUUCUAUAUGUUUUUGUGGCAGAGACUGCUGUCAAUAUCCACGUCUCCCAUUCUUCAUUUAGGAACAGGAUCAACAAAGGUUUACCUGGGCACAGGGCUAUCCAGCUAGACUACAGGUUCCUUUGCAGUAGAGUGGCUAUGUGACUUGUUGCUAAAGCGAAUUUUAAAAAAGUGAUUAGGGAUGUGUGCGGUGUGGCUCAUGCCUGUAAUCCCAGCACUUGGGGAGGCCGAUGUGGGAGGACUGGCUUGAGCUCAGGAGUUUGAGACCAGCAUGGGCAACAUGGCAAGACUCCAUCUCUACAAAAAAUAGUUAGCUAAGUGUGGUGGUGUGUGCCUGUGGCCCCAGCUGCUUGGGAGGCUGAGGUGGGAGGAUUGCUUGAGCCUGGGGAGGUUGAACCUGGAGUGAGCCCUGUUCAUGCCACUGCACUCCAGCAUGGGUGACAGAGCAAGACCCUCUCUCAAAAAAAAAAAAAAAAAAAGUGCAACUUCCAGGUCACUUCAUUUGAAGUAAUGUUCUUGUCUUCCUCGAUUUCUUUUUCACUGUUUUUUGAAAUAUGGACCUGGUGCUAGGGAGUUGGCUUUAACUAUGCAGAGGAGCAGAGAGGAACUUGGGAGGAACUUGGGAGGUUGGGAGAACAACAGGGUGAAAGGAACCUUGAUUCCUAGAUGACCUUUUGGAGCAGAGCCUCCUACCUUAAAUAAGUUUGCCUUGAUAAUCAAAUCUGAGUCAAAUACCUACAUGCAAGUAGUUUAGAACUUAUCACAGGAGCAGGAAUAAGGGAGAAGGAAUGUGAAAUAGGAAGAGUUAUCAAGUUACAGUCACUGCUAUAGUUGUCUGGUGUUCCAUCCAAUGAAACCCUCUGACAACCCUUAUAGGUAGCCAGAACUACCUAGGGCUGAAAAGGGGAUAUCAUUUUUUCCAUUGGUUCUCAUCUCCCUACUGGUGAAAAUGGUUCCCCGGUGCUAACUACCCCACACUUUGGAUUGCACACAUACAUUUGUAUCUUUUGAGUUUCCUUGAGCAGAGAGAUACACAGCACAAAUCGAAGGUUAGGCAUUGUCUGGGUGCACUGUAAAGCCUGGUCAUUUUGUCUAGAACGCGUUGCCUAAGAAGGGGCUGGAAUAAGGGGUGUGAUCAUGGAGAUUUAAAAUGGUGCACAAUGGUGUUUAACACAGCGCACUUUCUGCUUCCACCACUCAGAUCUGCUCGUAUCCUGCAUUCAUUCACAGAGUUCCCUUCGAGUUGUGGCUGGCCACAAUCUUGGCAAGCGCUUAAUAUUAAGAAGCGCAUAAUAUUAAUAUUAUGUUCCUAUUACUGCAGCUAAUCCUACCUCUGUCACUAACAUUCAACAUUUCCUUCCUCUGCCAUGUUUUUAAAAUCUCUAGAUCUCCCUAUCUCUCAGCUAGCAUCUCAGCUGAUCUUGGUUGCUUGCUUGAUGGAAUCAUCGAGGCCCUCAUCCCUGAGAGACCCCUUACUUGCCAUAUCCUACUUGGCCUGCAGUUGCUAUGAUUGCCCAUUUGUCCUGAUCAGUGGGCAUAAAGGCACAAAGUAACAGCCUUGUGAAUCCCCUGCACUCAAUAUAUUCUCUUCACUCUCCUCGUUGUACACCAGCUACCAUAGCUCGUGGUGAUCAGAAUUACAUUCAGCAUUACAAUAACUUUCUUUUUUGGCCAAUUUGUUCCCAGCAUUAAGGAGCCAGGUUACUAGGUGGUAACUGUACCAUCAAGUUCACUGUAACCCUUGUGUCCUGAUAGAAGCAUUUCUCAUCCCACCCCACUUCCAGACCAGGACCUCAAAUAUGGCUGACAUAAAGUUUCAAAGUCAAAAGCGCGAAUUCUGCAAAUGGGUCACAGGGAGUAAUGGUUUGAGGGGUCAGUCCUACUUUCACCCUUUGAUAAAAUCUUGCUUUCACCUCAUGUUCUGAGGAUUUCUUGGUGAAAUCCUACUUUCACCUCAUGUUCUGAGCAACGUGUAUUCUAGUUUCAGAGUUACAGCACCAUAUAUUAGCCAUUGAUUUAGCACACAUGCCUCAUGUUGGAGUAUCCCAACCCAUCAAGGGUUGUGCCUUGAGCUGGAACUUAUCUGGGCCUUAAACAGGUUAUUAUGUUUAUUUUUACCAUCAUGAUUAGAUUUCUCAGUGAGGUGUAGUAUUUAAGACCAUUGGACAAUGUAUCAGUGGUCCUAACUUCUUUGCUGUAAAGUAAGUCUCUUGGUUUGAGUGAUGGAUGAGGUAUGAUGCUGAAUCUGAUGUUCUGUAAGACUUGACAUGGUGAAACUGUGGGCAGAGACAGCAAACUCCUAUCUAAGGAAGGUGUCUGCUUGAGGACAUAUUGUUGCUCCGUUAAGAGUUAAAGUCUGAGUCAAGGCAAUCAGCUUGUCUCCCAAGUGGUUGGCUAGUCUCUUGGUAUAUCAAAGGGGACCAGUACACCUCCUGGAGGCAGUCUGCCUACAUCUAGACUAUUAUGUGAGAGAAAUACACACUUACUUAUUGUUUGAAUCGCUGUUAUUUAUUAUAGUGUAUAACAAACUAAUGCAGACAUUAUUACCUGAAAUGAGGUGCUGCUGUAACAUAAACUUACAAUAUGAGGUAAUGACUGAUUGAUUGGAAAGUAGUUAGUAAAGAAACAGAUGUGGCAGGUUUGACAGUGAUUGUCAGAUAAGAAUUAGUCACUUUGCAAGCAGAAGUGAAAGGGAAUAUAGUUAAAAUGGAGGCUUUCUUAUAUAUAGUAUAAAUUCAUAUUUUUCUAAUUUGACAGUAUUAGGGGCUUUCAGGUUUGGCAAAGCCAACUUUUUCUGUUUCUCCCAAACCACAGGAGACAACAUUGUCCCUCAGGCAAAAGCCUCCUAUAUAUGUUCCCAGCCAGAAAGUGGGAGCCAGCCCUACAACAAUAGACUGAGGGCAUUCCAUUCUCACCUAAGUCUUUUUUUAGGUGGCCUUGAGGUAGCCACUCUAAAUUAAGGGAGAGCUGGGUAUACUGAAUGUAACAACCAGAAAAUAGAGUCUGAAAGCUUAAGAACUGUAACAACAUGUGAUCUUUGACUGAAGCCUCUUUAACAUGGACAUGAGUGGAAACAAGGAGACGAGGAGCCUACUAAAUUUGGGGGAACAUUGUUUGCCAAGGAAAUCACAAACAUGGUGCCUGACCCAGCAAUCUCCAACUGGAAACUGUACCAGCAGAAAGCAUACUGCAAAAGCCAUGCAGUCACCAACAGGGUAACUCCCAACCACUCACUUCAGAUGUGUGCCACUUACCAUCUUAUGCCUCCCCACUCUAAUAAAUUCAUCUUUUAUGGCCUGCACUGCAGAAAUGGAGGUUACCCUUUAAAUAUUUUUCUCCUGCCAGUUGGUACAGUGUUAAACUCUGUCAACAGAAGGUGCUGGAAAGAGAUUGCAGAAGGAAAGGGUUUUCUUUCCAGCUUUGGUGUGCUCAACUGGCAGGCUCUUUUAGCACGUGUGGCUUCUCCAUUGCUUGGUUCCUACGGAGUAUGGCAAUCAGCAGCACUGAGAGGCAGCAGCUUCCUCAGGCAGGUUCAUAGUGAUGUUCCUAUAGCAAGACACCACCUCAUGAACAGCUAUUUUUAGCACCCUAGAGGGUGGAUUUCUGGUAAAUUUCACUGAGUCAACCCUGCAGUGGCUUCUCUGACAUUCAAUGAGCCAUGGUCUCUCCACUGAGGUCUACAUUUCAGUCCCUGGGGGCUUCUUCCUUGGAGUUCUAUCUCAGCCCUAAGGAUAGUGACUGCUCCUUAUAUAAACAAUUCCUAUUAUUUAGUUCUCUUUUAUUCUUAUUAGCCAAAUUCUCGUGAUUACAAAUCCCUGUUAUAGUUAGUAAUUUAUAGUAAACUUUCCUUGUUCAAAUUACUCUGUGGUUUCUCUUCUGAUUCGACCCAGACUGAUAUAAGGUGACACCACAGUAGAAAAUGGAUAAUGGGCAAAAAUGACUCACAAGGGGUAAACCCACUGGCCAUGGGGGUGGGGCACAGUAGAUAAAGGAGUUCCUUCCAGAGAUCAGAACCAGAGCCUAACCAAGGAAUUUACUGUAUUCUUGGGAAGGAAGCCUUUUGAAUUCCUGCCAAACAAUGUCAUAGUGAUUACUAUGUUUCCUAGUCUUUCUUUCCAGAAUUGUAGUGUUUAUUCCGUUUCUUUAUCCUACUCCACCAUUUUGCAUUGAGAUAUAUGGGAUUGUAAGUAACUUGUAUAUUAGAUAAUAAACCACUAAUUUCUGAAGAGCUAGUUUUAGAUCAGGUGGAGAGAAAUAAAGAUCUCAGAUUUUGAUCUGGGAACAAUAACUGGAUAAGCUUUAAUUGCAUUUUUAGGAGAGAACCUGCUGUGUUCUUUGUAUGGGAAGAUGGUGCAUGUGGAUCCUUGGCAGCUCAAGGCCAAAGGCAGAGACUUCUAGUCUUUCUCUAAUAUACUUUCCCUGUUUUCCUUUAAUAGUAAAGCUUCUCAAGUUCUUGCUGAGUGUUUGCCCAGCAAGACACUAUAGUUUCCAAGUUUUCUAUGUGGAUAUGUAACGCUGGGUUCUUGACAAUGCAAUGUAAGGGGAACUGAUAUAUGCAAUAUCCCAGUCUUGCUCCCUGCUCUCUUUUUUCUCCUUUCCUUAGUUUUGGGUAGACACAGUGCUGGUGAGCCAGUUUUUAAUAUGUAGUCAAGAGGAAGCUCUUGAGGGGUUCAAAGAGCCCCACAUAGAAAACCUGGGUUCCUUACUGUACCCUUGGGAAGCAGAGUCUCCUGCUUGCCCUGAAUCCCCUGCCUUCCUCUGGACCGAUAUGUGAGAGAAUAAAAUUCUUUUUUUUUUUUUUUCCUUCGAGCUAUUGUAUUCUUGGUCUUUUUGUUAUAUCAGCUUAACCUGUUCCCUAACUAAAACAGUCUUCUUUCUCAUAUUCCUUUCAAAUUAAGUAUUUUAUUUAUGACGUGCAACUUUUACAGGAUUUCUUUCCCUUGAGCCUCCUCCUCCCAUUUUUUUGCAGAGAGAAGAGUUUGCAGAAAUCUUUGGCUUCAUCUCAUUACUCUUUACUGUCAUUGCCUGCAGGCAGAGCCCAUAAUGUAAAUGUAAAAUUGUGUUUUGCAUAAGUUCCCUUGAGUAUGUAAUUAUAAUGCAUUCCAGGGUGCGCCUAAAUAAGAAGACUCUGCUUCUUCUCCAUCCUAAGAUUGCUUUUGGUGUCAAUCACAUGGUAAGAUAUAGACAGAGGCAAUAGCAGUAGUAACUAACACUGAAUGAGGCAGAGUACAGAAUAAAACAUUAUCCAUUUUCAUUGCUGAUGAUCUGGGGAGGAUUCACAUAAUAUAGAGGCCCUAAGGGUGGAGUGGGAAAAUUCUAAUAUAAUUUGGAGGUGUGCAAAAUAUUUCAUAAUGAAAUAGCAUUUUUGUUCAUCUUCAAAAGCACUGUGACUUAGUUCUGUUUUAUACUGAACACAGACAAUUUACACAUCAGUAUUUUCUGUUAUAUCACAAAUACUGAACAAAGUGUCAGAUACUAGUUUCGAUUAUUAUGUAACCACUAACAACUAACUGUAUAACACAUAUAAAAAUCCUUUAUAUAAAUAUGCUAAAACCAUUUUUAAUAUAAACAUCUAUAUACUAAAAUUUUAAAAUAUGCAUACAAAAGCAGUGAUUAUAAAAGUGAUUGUUGAUCAACUAUUUUAUUGACCCAAUUAAAAAAUAUGUAUUUCAAAACUAUUAUAUGAAGCAAAGGUUGAAAAUAGAUUAUCUUAAUUGUAUUUUAAAACACAUAUCACAAGAUGUGGAGAAAUUUGGAUUUAGAACCUUUAUAUAGGAGAAAGUAGUUUGUGAAUAAUUUAGAAAAAUUAUUUGCACAACUAAAAUAAAUAACUUUAAAUUCUAAAAUAAAUACAUUUAAUUGCUGACAUUAACUUAAUGCCUUCUGUAAACAUAUUUUAGAAAAGUAAAGGGUUAUAAUUGAUACUAGAAUUGGGAAUCAAAUUAAGGAAAAAAUUAGAAAUAAAACAUUUUAAAUGUUUAAUUAAUUUAAACCACUUCGACAAUUUUUGCCAUAUCCAUUUAACACCUAAAAUAAUCAUUUUAUUAUAUUUCAUUUCAUUUUUACUUAAAUAUAUUUGAUUUUUUAGAAAAUAGCAUCAUGGCUUUACUUGACAUAAAUACUUUACUCAACACAUAUCAUUUUCUUUAAAUAGAAAGGACAGACACAUUUAUAUACAUUCAAAUAAAUACCUACUUAAGUAAAAAUGUUCUUAGAUGUGCUAUCUAUAAAAUCAUCUCACAUGGCCCACAUACCACACUUUGAUUCAUGAUUGAGAUGGCAUUGCAGUAUAUAAAAUCUUCUAGUAUUCAGGGCAUCAAUAAAUUUAAAAUCUAUACUUAAAGUCUCAUUGCAGCAAAAGUGUGUUCAUGCCCUACUCAGUCCAUCAGUCAGUGCUAACAAUAAGUAUGUAAUAGAUAGGUCUCUUUUUCAUCAUUUUCAGAUACUAACACUCUAGAGCAAACCAAUACAACUCAUACUGUGUACAGAAGUAUGCUGUUAUUCAUAAGGUUAACUUCACUCCCUAAAUAAAUGCUCAGAAAUCACAUUUAUCAUAGUUAAAGAGAUAAAGGCAAAUGGUAAGGGCUACCAAUAAACUCCAUCUCUAAAAUUGAAUAUGUUCAGUAGCAAUUAUGUUAUUAAAAAUGCUUUUUUAUGCCCAACUUUUCAGGAAUGUUAUAUUUGCCCAACACAAUUUAAUAAUAUACUUUACAAUUAUCUUUGUGAGAAAAUAAUUAUCAGCAUGGUCUUUAACACAUUUUUUAGGUUUUUGUGAUUAUGUUUGUGCUUUUCAGGUAUUUGUAAAUUGCAUUUGCACACAGAAUUCUCAAAAAUUCAAAUCCAUUUGUUGGUCAGUAAGUACAACAAUAAGAAUGCCAGCUUAUUCCACAAAAUAUAGUUUACCAUUUUAUUUGACUAUUACACAUCUUAGGGAAGUGAUUUGGAUUUAGAGAGAAAAUAUUGAGGUAGGGUUUUUCUAUCAUACAAUGUCUUGGAUUACCAUCUGCUUACAAACAUGAUUAUGGACCCAAAUGCUGAGAGGAACUGAGCUUCAAACUCAUAGAAUUCUUGGAGUUUUGCCCAGAUCAAAUGUGCUUGAUGAGUUUGGACACUAUACAUGCUUUUAACAUACUAAAGCUGAAUGAUAAAACCUCAGUACUCCGUAAAUCUGAAUACUUUGUGAACCCACAGGAGUUGUUCAGGGUACGGUAUGACUUCUAUUGGACAAUCUGUGCCCAAAAACUCCUCUAUGUUCUGUCAACCCAUGCUUUCCCAGUGCACUGAAAGGGAUUUGUUUGGCCACAUUUGGAGGUGUAUUCAUUUUCUACUGCUAGGUAAUGGAUGACUACAAAUUGAGCAACAUGUAACAACAUCCAUUUAGCUCAGUUCUGUGGGUCAGAAGUCCAGGCAAUUCAAGGCUGGAUUCUGCUCAGGUUAACAUCAGGGUGUCAGCCAGCUGCGUUUUCACAUGGAGUUGAGUGUUCUUUUCCUAAUUCGUUGUUGUCACUGGGAUAAUUUAGGUCUUUGCAGUUGUGGCAUCAAAAUCCCUGUUUCCCUGCUGGCUAUCAGCUGGGACCAGCUCUAAGCUCCUAGAGACUACUCUCACUUCCUUACCAAGAGGUCCCUUCCGUCUCAGCAACUAAAAUGCCCUUUGAAUCUCUCCAACUUCCCCUGCUAUGACCAGCCAGAGAAAACUAUGUUUUAAAGGGUCAUUUGAUGAGGUCUCAACCUCCAAGAGGAUGUCUCCAUCUCAGGGUUAAUGGUAUCAUUUAACCUAACCUAAUCAUGUAAAAGACAUCAAAUUUACAGUUCUGAGGAUUAUGUAGUGUGAGUACACCUGGGACAGGGAAUACUGGGGGACAUCUUAGAGUCCUGACUAUGACAGAGACCUGUUAUUUUCACUUUCAGCUUUUCACAUUUCUUUGGUUCUGUCUUCACAUUCAACCUUUCGUUUUUCUAUAUUUUUUCCCCAAAAGAAACUCAGAAAAACUCCAAUUGUCACAAAAUUAGUCUACAUGUAAGAGUGUAAAGGAAUACACAUAUACAUAAAAGAUGCGUGUUUCUGAGCCUGCAAACAUGUUUCAAGGUGAUACCAAAUAAACUUUGAUGCUAUUCAUCUGGCUCAUUGCAUACAUGGCUUCAACAAAAUCAUCACUUUAUGAAGAAGCAUUUUUGUGACAUGAGAAUAGCUGACUAUAGUUAUAAUAAUGAGGAUAUUAUGAAUUCAAUGAAAUUUCUUCCUAAUAACAGGCCUGCUGUGUAAGCAAGUAACAGGUUUAUUUCAAUGCUAAUAUUUAUUUAUUUGUAGAUGUUCUUUCUACAAAUUAAAUUUUUUGGGUUCUAUGAGAGUAGUAUGCAAAUAGUGAAAAACUGAAAUAAUUAUUGGUGAUUCGCUUGUGUCCACCUAUCCUGAAAUGCCUUAACUCCCCUUCCUUACCUUAGUACCAAUUGGAUUCUUAUAGUAACUAACUCUGAGCCAAAAGCUUUGAUUUAUCAAAGCAUCGAUGAAAAAAAUACUUAUCAAGAACAUAAAUAAGGACUUUGGAGGAGCUCACUAAACACCCAGAAAUUUAUUACCAAAUUCCAAAUGGCUAAUUUUAAACCAGGAUAAAGACCAAUGAGUGAAAAUAAGAUAUGCAGUGACAUAGUGUAUUUUAGUGGGAAGAAUAAUAAAAAGACCUCUGGAUAAGCUAUUUUAUUAACUUAUCUGAAUCUCAGUUGUUUUUCACUAUAAGAGCAGGGUCAUGUCCCAACUUCAUUGAGUUGUGAGAAUUAUUUAUUAAAUGUGUAUAGUUUGUAAUGUGUUCAGUAAAUACCUGUCUUGUCUGAAAGUGAAUAAAUUAAUACAUUCUUAACUUACUUUAAAAUGGGAGAAGCCACAGUUUAAAAGGAAAGAGAACGUGACAUAGACUUAGUUUGAUUUUUAAAAAUUUGUAGAUUCAGCUACAAAUACACAAAAACUGCAACAGAGAUAGGAUAACUAAAAUAAUACUGGAAUACUUAAAUAACACUAGAGUAACUUUAUGGUUUUGAAACAGAGGGCAUUUAACCAUGGACUUAGUUUAGGUGGUGGAAUAGUUGAGAGAAGUCAGAUGGGAUGGUAUGUCAACCCAGAAAUUAGCAACAGCGGGGGGUGGGGCACCAUCUCCCUACAAUGGAGGAAGAAAGGGAGAAUGGAGAAUGGAGUGUUCCUGAAACCCAGGUGAUAGGGUCAUGAAGGAAAUGCAGCUACUGGCCAGAGAUUCUACCCAAGGCAGAGGGAGGAGUACCCUCGCUCCUUGCUUCCAACAAAAGGUAGAUGACAUAGGAUCCUGAUGAAGAGACCACCAAAUUUAGAAGAGCAAAAAGGCAACGAGCAUUUCUGAGGGCAAACAGGCCAUGAACCAGCAUUUUAAUUGGUGGAACUAAGAGAAAACUAAUGGACCAGCAAUUCAGAUUUUAGGUAAUACUGUAUUGAUUAAUUUCUUCCACUUGUCUUAAGUCCAUUCUCAGAGCUUCAGAACCACCAACAACAAAAAGAGAGCUGUCAAAGAUGGAGACUUAUUCCCUAAACUCCUCUCUAACAAGGCUGUAGUGGGGUAGAGGGUGGCGGGGAGUUUGGGGAAGUAUAACUGGUGGCCCAAGUUUGGCAGGCUGAGGAACAGUGAUCAGAAAUAUGGGCCUUGCUCUUCCUGGCCACAGGGUGGUGGUAUAAGGUAUGAAACCACUAUUGUCUUACUUUCACUUUUUUCAAAUACUGGUUAAUUUUGCCUGUCUUCAUCACUGCAUGUUUGGUAUUUUGGAAGGUAGAAGAGUAUGUUUUCCAAAGGUGAUCACAAUAAUCUAUAUCCCAUCCUUUGUGCUCUUAUUAUGGUGCAAUGUUGACACUUGUCCAUCAGUAGGUGUACAGGUCUAUAUUUUCUCUUUGAAUCUGGGUAGGUCAGUGGCCAUGGAAAAGGUGACACUGUGUGACUUUUGAGAUAAAAGGGAUGAGGCUUCUGCUUGAUUCUCUUAAGGUGGAACCAAGCCACCAUGCGCUGAGGAAGCUAAGUAUCCACAUGAAGAACCCGUGUGCUAGGAUUCUGGUCAUGACCGCAGCAGAGGUCCUACUGAGAGUCAGCAUCAACUAAAUGUUAAUAACUGAGCCUUCAGAUGAUGCCAGCCAUCAGUUUUCAAGCUGUUUCAGCUAACUCCAACAGGAGCAUGGAUAACGUGUCCCCACCAAGCCCUGCCCAAAUUGCACAUUUAUGAACAGAAUGAAUGUCAUUGAUUUAAGUCACUAGUUUUAGAGUAGCCUGUGACUCAACAAUAGAUAACCAGAACACAGGAGGGUUAAACUUACAAUUUAGUCAACCUUUGCCACACAUGACAAGUCACAUGCUCAUCAGAAUAAGAAAAAUGUGCUUCUCUAGAGAUCCUGGACAUACAGUUUUACAGAGUAGCUGGAUUUGAUUUUGUGUUGCUGGCCUCUGGGGAAGUGUAAGCACAUUUUCAGUUAUAAGUGGGAUAAUGGUAUUUACUAUAUUAGGAAGAGGAAAUGUGGGAAUUGUUUGUGCGUGUCUAAAAUGAUGCUAAAACUGGAUCUUUCCUGUCUCCGUUCUGACAGAGCCAUCAGUGAUCAAUAUCAGGAUAUCUUAAUGAGAGCAGAUGAUCCCAACUUCAUGUUCAUGCAUUCAACAUGGAGUGCCUAUUACAUGACACUUGUUAGUCCAUGUGCUGAGGAUGGAGCAAUAAACAAACCUGUUUAAGCUUUCUGCCCUCAUGAAGCUGACAUAUGCAGAAUUAGAAAGAAAAGGGCUCUACUGAGUAAAAUUGGUUAAGUGAUUUUACUGGACAGAGUUGUUAUUAUGUAUAUUGGCCAGAAGAGGCCAGGUAACAAAUAUGCACAGACGGUACAGAAGUGGGACAUGUGUAGGAUGUCAUGGAUCUUGUCUAAUAAGAGCCAAGAAACCUCAGCAGAAAAAAACGAAGAUAGCAGCCAGGUGCAGUGGUUUACACCUGGGAUCCAGUGCGUUGGGAGGCCAAGGCAGGAGGAUUGCUUGAGGCUAGGAGUUCAAGGCCUGCCUGGGCAACACAGCAAGUCCCUCUUUCUACAAAAAAAGAAAAAGAAUGAAGAUGAACACAUAUAGGCCUAAAGUUAUUGAAACUGGCAGAAGACAAUGUGAAAUAGACAUCUGCCUGAACAGGGCACUGUAGGAGACAGUCUGUCAUGGACUCCCUGAAGAGAAAAAGGGUGAAGGCAGAGAGCUGAGGGACACACCCUCUUUCCUCCCACUUCUCCUCACCUUGGCUUCCCUAUGGCAUACCUCCGGAGAGAGAGGCUCCAAGCUUAGGAUAAAAGAACUUUUGAUGAUAAAUCAAGUUUGAAAUUGUGUUUAAUAUUUUAUACUGGACAUUCCAAUUUUUAAGUCAAAACUGUGUUUACCAUUAACUGAAGAACUUUUUAUUUUCUGAGUAACCACAAAAAUCAUGGGCCUGCCCAAGUAUUCUUUCAGGAUAAGGGAAGAAAACCUAAACUGAUUACAUUUAAACCAGGGUACAAGAUGCAACUUAAUCUUCCCUGUGAUCACAGUCCUUGUGUUGUGCUUGCUUUGGGAGGCCAAGGCGGGCGGAUCAGUAGAUCAGGAGAUCGAGACCAUCCUGGCUAACAUGGUGAAACCCCAUCUCUACUAAAAAUACAAAAAAAUUAGCUGGGCGUGGUGGCGGGCGCCUGUAGUCCCAGGUAUUCGGGAGGCUGAGGCAGGAGAAUGGCGUGAACCCGGGAGGUGGAGCUUGCAGUGAGCCGAGAUUGCACCACUGCACUCCAGCCUGGGAGACAAAGCGAGACUCCGUCUCAAAAAAAAAAAAAGGGUGUGUUUUUCCUAGGUAGACUGUGGAUACAUCUGUACUUUUCCUACUUGAUUUCUGGUAAGAGAACUCCAUUUAAAUGUGGGGAAUGAGUGAGACAGACAGAGAUCAUCCCAAUCAUCUCUGGUCAUGACAGUGGAUAUCUGACCAGUCUGAGUGAGAAUGAUGGGUAGUGGCAUAAGCAUUUGACACAAGAAUUCAUGAGACUCUGCUUCCACAACUGUUGGGG